rnacentral:tRNA from 3 species
GGAGAGGUGGCUGAGUGGUCGAAAGCGGCUUCCUGCUAAGAAGUUGUACGGUCAAAAGCUGUACCGAGAGUUCGAAUCUCUCCCUCUCCG